GGUAGCUGCACAGAUCUAUAUAAAGUCCGUGCUUGGCAAGUCUAUACAAAGACGGCUACGCCAGAUAUUAUACGUCUUUUUUUCCUGGAUUUACAGAAGUGGGAAGCGGUAGUUGAAAACAGAGGUGGGAUAUAAUACAAAUCUCCAAAAUGCACACAACAACGCUUCUGGUAGUUGCCGUAGCAACGAUUGUGUGUAUAUAUGCAGCGCCGUAUGACGAUUUUUGGAACAAGCAACCAGAACGAAAAACAGACGAUAAACGCCAAACGGGAAAAGUCAAGUAUAACCAAUUCCAUCACUUGGGUAUAGGCAAGCGAAGAGAUAACUCACUGGAAACACCGGAACACAAAUCAGACCUAGAGAAACUUCUUUACCGAUACUUCUUACAACUUCUUGAUAACGAAAUGGCACGACAGACGUUGACCCCUGGCCAAGAGUACGUGAACGAAUCAGUGGAAGAUGACAUGGGAGAUGGUUUAAUUUUGUCGUAGGUCGUUUAGCUUCAAUAGAGACGUGAAUUGAUGUAUAUUUUAUCUUUUAUUUAUUUCUCCUUGGCUCUACAUGUGUACCGUAAUACAGUUUGGACUCCUACACGAUAUUUGAUCUACGGGAUGGGAUCGAAUCACCGUACUUGACUCUUCACUCUUCACCUAUCUAUGCGUCGAAAAAUCAAACACAAAUCGUCUAGUAGUUAUUUCUGUAGCAUACUAUUUUUAUCAUCAAAACAUUCUCAGUGAACAUUUUAUUAAACUCACGAGUAUAUACAAAAAUGAUUUUGAUGAUUAUUUAAUUAAAUCUGUAAAAAGUAUAUAAAUAUAUAUAUUAGCAAAUCCGAUAUUAAUGUAUCGAUACUUUAAUCACAGACUAUCAGUAGCACAAUGGUACCAUACUACUACUACUACUAAUAAUAAUAAUAACAAUAAUGAGUAAUCAAUACUAAUAAUCCUCGCCCCUACUAUAUAUUUCAUUUUUUUCAAAUUUAGGUCCACGCCCCCAUAGAUUGUAUUAUAUGAUAUUUUAUUUACUCAGAGUUUCUAGACUGUACGGAAUAUUAUCAUAGUAAAAUAGAUAAGGCUGUUGUUUC